GACGAACGCUGGCGGCGUGCUUAACACAUGCAAGUCGAACGGAAAGGCCCUGCUUUUGUGGGGUGCUCGAGUGGCGAACGGGUGAGUAACACGUGAGUAACCUGCCCUUGACUUUGGGAUAACUUCAGGAAACUGGGGCUAAUACCGGAUAGGAGCUCCUGCUGCAUGGUGGGGGUUGGAAAGUUUCGGCGGUUGGGGAUGGACUCGAGGCUUAUCAGCUUGUUGGUGGGGUAGUGGCUUACCAAGGCUUUGACGGGUAGCCGGCCUGAGAGGGUGACCGGCCACAUUGGGACUGAGAUACGGCGCAGACUCCUACGGGAGGCAGCAGUGGGGAAUAUUGCACAAUGGGCGGAAGCCUGAUGCAGCAACGCCGCGUGCGGGAUGACGGCCUUCGGGGUGUAAACCGCUUUCGCCUGUGACGAAGCGUGAGUGACGGUAAUGGGUAAAGAAGCAACGGCUAACUACGUG
rnacentral:rRNA from 1 species